GGGUGACAUGUUCAGUGAGUAUGCUGGCCAUGCAAGAACUGGGAUGUUUUCAGCUUCCAGGAAUUCUGUACAGAUUCUUGCAACAUGGGGCCGUGCAUUAUCAUGCUGCAACAUGAGGUGAUUGGGUCUCAGGAUCUUGUCAAGGUAUCUCUGUGCAUUCAAAAUGCCAUCAAUAAAAUGCAACUGUGUUCGUUGUACUUAUCAUACGCCUGCCCAUGCCAUAACCCCACCGCCACCAUGGGCCACUCAAUCCACAACAUUGACAUCAGCAAACUGCUCACCCAUACAAUGCCAUACAGGCUAUCUGCCCUGAACAGUGAAAACCAGGAUUAAUUUGAAGAGAACACCAUUGAAUGUGAGCAUUUGCCCACUCAAGUCGGUUACAACGUCGAACUGCAGUCAGGUCGAGCCCCCAAUGAGGACGACGAGCAUGCAGAUGAGCUUCCCUGAGACGGUUUCUGAC